AGAUAUCUUUCAGGAGGUGCUUUAUUAUAUGGCUGUCUUGCACCAAGCCAAAGUAGGAACAACUGUUCGUUCUAAGAUACAUGAAGUGACUUGUCAGGAUGACCCUCUGAGGAGUGCACUUAAGAGCUCUGGAGAGCUUGAAGGUGUUCUCGGUAUGGAAAGCUGUUGACAACCUGUGUCUGUCCCAUGGAGGUGAUGAGUAUCAUGACCCAGUCCUGCUUUUCUGACUGCCUGCAUUGGAGACUCUCCUGGGCCAGUAGCAGCUGUCCUCCAGUCCCAGCACCCAGUUCAGUACAAAAAUGUUGGGUUUUUUUUGUGGUUGGUUUUUGUUUUGUGGUUGUUGUUUUUUUUGUUGGUUUGAUUUUUGUUUGUUUUUGUUUGGGUUUUUUUUGCCAGACAUUUCCUCUGGUACUUGUGUUGUCAUUUACUGUGACUAGUACUGCUCUGUUUCUUCUCCAGAGUGAUGUAAAGCAAACCAAGCCUCCCCAAAUCCAACUCCUUCCAGGCAGGGCUCGAUGCCCACAGGGGCAUCCAGCCUGCACCAUCAAGAGGCUGCUCAAAACCUCCCAGGACUGAGAUCCAUGCCAUGAAAAUAUGGAGCCACAUUCUUGAGCUGAUGUAAACUGGUGUAGCUCCGUUGAUGUUGAUCCAGCCUAUACAAGCUGAAAAUAUGGCUUAGAGUAAGUGAAUCAUACUGCUGAAAUGUAGCCAGCUCCAAAGCAUACCUGUCCCAUGGGUAUGCUGAGAAGUUAAAGUUGCUUCCACCCUUUUUGGCUGAUAAUCCACAAAUGAGCCACAAAUCUGGCAUGAAAGAAAGGCUGCAGUGUAACACAUGAGUCACUUUACCCACUACAAAAUGUCACUGGUUCUGGAGAGAGAUGCAGCAGCUGUUUAGCAGAGUGUAGCCCAGGUGGCAGAGAUGGUCCUGUUAUUAUACAGCUCUGUAAAUGAACUCACUGUUUUGCAAACUAACAGGCCUUCUUUGAGCAGUUUCCAAUGCAACUCACUCUGAAGCAAAGUGGGGCUGGCCUCCUGUGAGCCUGGUGAUGUUUCAAGGUAAGUCCUAGCUGCUCUGGGGGCCUUAGGAGGAAGUCCUGCAAGAAAGUGUGGUGUCACCAGUUGGGCCACAAAUCUGUGGCAGUGCACCAGAAAGGAAACAGGUAACUGCCAGACAGGGGGAAGUAGUUACCUUCAAUGUGGCUCCAUCCACUUUUAGUCCUCUGUAGCUUUGCAAAAUGUAUCUGUCAGGCAAGGCUUGCCUUUCCUUUUGCUGUCUUGCAGGAAAGACAAGGAAAAGAAGAAUUGCUUCAUCUUGCAGCUGCAGAUGUGAGAUGUGGAGGUUAAAGGCCAGAUCUGAAACAGAUUUAGACCUAGGCAAAACGAGAUGCCCCAAGACAGGUUUCCUCCCAGGGGCCACAGCUGGCAUGGCUUCACUGCAGGGAAAUGCUGCUCAGGACAGUAACAUUUCUGUUACUAGAGCUAAGGUGCCAGAGAGCUUUUCUUACAGUGAGGAGUAAAGCUGCAGGACCAUGGGCUCUGAACUCCACAACAAAAGGGAGAAGGAGGUGGAGCAAGAAGGACGGCUACUAGGCACGGUGAACCUGGGCUUUCUCCAGGGUUGUUCAUGUACAUAAUCACAGGGUUUUUCCCUGUGAUAUGAACCACAUCAGCAGCCACUCUAGCUGACAGGGCAGGAGCAAGCAUUGCCAGCGCUGCAAAGCUGUGCCCUGGAAAGUGCUGCUGUAAUCUGAAAGUGGAGUUUAUUAACUCCAGAUUUUUCCAGUGUAGCUGGCAUGCCAACAAUGCUGUCUGAACACAAAGACUCACUCGCAGAGAUAUUAAUCAG